rnacentral:rRNA from 1 species
GUGGGGAAUAUUGGACAAUGGGCGAAAGCCUGAUCCAGCCAUGCCGCGUGUGUGAAGAAGGCCUUUUGGUUGUAAAGCACUUUAAGCGAGGAGGAGGCUACCGAGAUUAAUACUCUUGGAUAGUGGACGUUACUCGCAGAAUAAGCACCGGCUAACUCUGUGCCAGCAGCCGCGGUAAUACAGAGGGUGCGAGCGUUAAUCGGAUUUACUGGGCGUAAAGCGUGCGUAGGCGGCUUUUUAAGUCGGAUGGGCAAUCCCUGAGCUUAACUUUGGAAUUGCAUUCGAUACUGGGAAGCUAGAGUAUGGGAGAGGAUGGUAGAAUUCCAGGUGUAGCGGUGAAAUGCGUAGAUAUCUGGAGGAAUACCGAUGGCGAAGGCAGCCAUCUGGCCUAAUACUGACGCUGAGGUACGAAAGCAUGGGGAGCAAACAGGAUUAGAAACCCCAGUAGUCC